rnacentral:rRNA from 1 species
GAUGAACGCUAGCUACAGGCUUAACACAUGCAAGUCGAGGGGCAGCGCAGUGUAGCAAUACAUGGGCGGCGACCGGCGCACGGGUGCGUAACGCGUAUCCAACCUUCCCGUUACUCAGGGAUAGCCUUCCGAAAGGGAGAUUAAUACCUGAUGGUGUUCAAAUUCCGCAUGUUAUUUGAACUAAAGAUUUAUCGGUAACGGAUGGGGAUGCGUGACAUUAGAUAGUAGGCGGGGUAACGGCCCACCUAGUCUACGAUGUCUAGGGGUUCUGAGAGGAAGGUCCCCCACACUGGAACUGAGACACGGUCCAGACUCCUACGGGAGGCAGCAGUGAGGAAUAUUGGUCAAUGGUCAGACGACUGAACCAGCCAUGCCGCGUGAAGGUGACGGGCCCUAUGGGUCUUAAACUUCUUUUGCAAGGGAGCAAUAAGAGCUACGUGUAGCUUGAUGAGAGUACCUUGCGAAUAAGCAUCGGCUAACUCCGUGCCAGCAGCCG